rnacentral:rRNA from 1 species
UACGUAGGGGGCUAGCGUUGUCCGGAAUUAUUGGGCGUAAAGAGCUCGUAGGCGGUUUGUCGCGUCUGCUGUGAAAACCUAAGGCUCAACCUUGGGCUUGCAGUGGGUACGGGCAGACUAGAGUGCGGUAGGGGUGACUGGAAUUCCUGGUGUAGCGGUGGAAUGCGCAGAUAUCAGGAGGAACACCGAUGGCGAAGGCAGGUCACUGGGCCGCAACUGACGCUGAGGAGCGAAAGCGUGGGGAGCAAACAGG